rnacentral:sRNA from 1 species
GCCGGGCGUGGUGGUGUGCGCCUGUAGUCCCAGCUACUUGGGAGGCUGAGGCAGGAGAAUCACUUGAACCAGGGAGGUGGAGGUUGCAGUGAGCUGAGAUUGUGCCACUGCAUUCCAGCCUGGGCAACAGAGUGAGACCCUGUCUUAA